CGCAAUGGGCGAAAGCCUGACGGAGCGACGCCGCGUGCAGGAAGAAGUGCUUCGGUAUGUAAACUGCUUUUAUAGGGGAAGAAAUUAUUGACGGUACCCUAAGAAUAAGAGGUUGCUAAACUCGUGCCAGCAGCAGCGGUAAUACGAGUGCCUCGAGCGUUAUCCGGAAUCAUUGGGCGUAAAGGGUGUGUAGGUGGUCUACUUAGUCUUCUGUUAAAACUCCCGGCUUAACCGGGAAGGUGCAGGGGAAACGGGUAGACUAGAAUAUGCGAGGGGUCUGUGGAACUCAUGGUGUAGCGGUGAAAUGCGUUGAUAUCAUGGGGAACACCAAAAGCGAAGGCAGCAGACUGGAGCAUUAUUGACACUGAAACACGAAAGCGU
rnacentral:rRNA from 1 species